rnacentral:misc_RNA from 1 species
UUCUGCUGGUGUUUGUUGUGCCCAUGAAGAUCUAGCCCAACUCUGCACCGUUGACAACAAAUAGUCGCAAGUGCCGAUUGCUGCUGGUUGGCUCAAUCCAGAAUUUGGCCCCACAAGUGCGAUGAACCUAGGUGAAAGUAUCGCUGCCAAAAUGGCAGUGAUACUUUCCAAGGUGAUCGGUCAGAAGGAGGUUGGCACGCAGUGCAACGUCUUGCCUCGGGCAGCCAAGUCUGUUGGGUGCUCCUUCAAAGCAGCCAGCAAGUCGGCGAGCGUGCAGACUACAGAGACUGUGGAUCAGUCAAGCUCCACCUCAGAAACCAAACGGUGCACUGCCACAAUCCUGCUGUACGCUUCCACCUAUUUUAUCCCAUUCUUUGCAAAGGCACUAAUAAAGUCAAGCCUGGAGAUGUUAUUUUGUGCACCCCCAGCACUAUUAAUACAUGUUUACACAAAGUUGGCAAAAUUGGCGUGUUGGCCACAGUAAGGACAAGAAGUGAUGACGCUUUCUGCAUUUUAUAGCUGGAAACAAGAAAACUUUUUUUUAUUUUGGUUCACAGUAUACAUGGCAAGCACAGGAAGACCGUGCUAAAGGUAUUUUGCAACACCUGACUAAGGCCCAGCCUUUUCUUGGUAAUUCAGGUGCUGGCGGUUGCAGCAUAAGAUUUGCAAAAUGGUUUACGUAAUGUUCACCGUUGCUAAGUGGAAUUUGAAUUUGUUCUUUGUCACAGCGUAAUAAUAAUACAGUCGCCGACUGAUUUUUAGGACACCCGAUUUUCCGGACCUGCCGAAAUAUUCAGACUCUGCCAUGGUAUUGCACCGCGCUCCACAGACUCGAUGUAUAACAACCAAAAUUUCGCAUGUUUCAAACUCUUCUCAUUUGAUUUUGCGGACUUUUUCUCUCAAUCGCAAGUCAAGAGCUAUCGAAAAUGUAAACAUCGGCGCCAUGUCGUUUUUUUGCAGCAUCAAACCCCCUGUUGCACGCAUCUCGCUUGCCAUUUUGGAGCUUCCAUUUCCGAUACAGCCUCGAUAUCAGGCACCGCUUGCUGCACCCUCCCGCGAGGCUUCGCGCUGUUGUUGCUGUCAGCACUUCUCAGUCGCAUGUGGUCAGUUGUACGCUCGGCCACAAACUAUUGCGCGGCGCACGCCGGCGCGUUUCGAAACUGCCCUCCGCACCUUCUCGCCGCCCACCCCUAUUGUCGAGACUAACGCUUGCACGCCAGUGCGUCCCUCCGUGACUGCAAGCGUGCAUGUUACCGCGCUUCCUCCUUGUGCGAUGGUGAUAUCCGAGUGUAGGCGCGAGGUGCCCCUCUUGACAUUGGCACAGUGGCGGCUUCGAUGAACAAAACUGUGUGAAGCGUGAGCUGGCCCACGCCGCAUACCGCGACGCUAGGCUCAGCCGCUUCAACAACCGAUUGUCUGCAGUGGUUUCAUCGGCAGCUGCUACAGAUGGCGCUGACACUGUCCUCGUCGUCCGCCCCCAAUUCGAUAAGGGCUUCGAAGCGAGGAAAUUGUAGAAGAUUGACGAUGGAAUAUAAGCCCACUGUUAUCUGGCAAGUGCAAAGUGGCCGAUUGCAAGCGGAUGUCACAAAGGCAGUUGAAAUCUCGAAGCAGGCAAUAUUAGUCUCCCUAAAAAACAUGGGGCAGAUUUUUGAAGCCGACGAUAAACCUGUUGGAUCUCGACAGUAGAAUGUCUGCCAAGGUGCCCACCGAAAAUUGGAGGAAGCGUUUCUGAUGAGGCUGAAAGCCAUGAUCACCAAGCAAGUGCCGGUGUCUGGUGAUGUUUUAAAGCAAAAGGCAGAAACCCUGGCGCUUCAGAUGAACAUUGGGGGUUUUAAAUUUAGUGAUGGCUGGGUAUGAAAUGUAAAAACAAGAAACAAUGUAAGCUUUAGGAAGAUGGGCAGUAAAAGUGUCUCAUCAGAGAAAUUUGUCGUGCCAGCGAAUCAUAAGUUUAGCAAAUGCCAAACAUGGCCUUGAAACCUCCAGUACUCAAUGAGGAUCAGAGAGCAAGCUGGGUCGAAGCUUUUUGACACUGUCCUCUAAGGACGUAGAAAUCCAUGAAAGUUUUCAAACACUCCAGAUUCUCUCACUUUGUAAUUUUUUACUAUUCUGAAAAAUAAUUUCUACGGGUGGGCUUCACAAACAGUCAUUAAGCAUUCCGAUGCAGAAAUAUUGAGUCAAUCAAAAAGGACCACUAGGGGUCAUUUGUUCAUACUUGAAAUCACCCUCAAGACAUCCCAAAUCAAAAAAAAAAAAAAAUGAAGCUCAUCAUUAACUUUAGUAUCUGUUCUUUCGCAUU